CCUGAUGCAGCGACGCCGCGUGCGGGAUGAAGGGGCUUAGCCUCGUAAACCGCUGUCGGAGGGGACGAAUGGUACAUUUGAUGUACUGAGACGGUACCCUCAAAGGAAGGAUCGGCUAACUACGUGCCAGCAGCCGCGGUAAUACGUAGGAUCCGAGCGUUGUCCGGAAUUACUGGGGUGUAAAGGGGUGCGUAGGCGGACUUGUGCGUCAGAGGUGAAAUCCACGGGCUUAACCCGUGGGGUGCCUUUGAUACGGCAAGUCUUGAGUGCGAAAGAGGUGGGUGGAAUUCCUGGUGUAGCAGUGAAAUGCGUAGAUAUCAGGAGGAACACCGAUGGCGAAGGCAGCCCACCGGCUCGCAACUGACGCUGAGGCACGAAAGCGUGGGGAUCAAACAGGAUUAGAUACCCUGGUAGUCCACGCCUUAAACGAUGUAUGCUUGGUGUUGGGUCGCAAGACUCAGUGCCGGAGGAAACCUAUUAAGCAUACCACCUGGGGAGUACGAUCGCAAGGUUGAAACUCAAAGGAAUUGACGGG
rnacentral:rRNA from 1 species